UCACCUAUAAUUCAACUUUCCACACUUGUGUGAAAGCCUUCUGCAGCUUUGAUCAUUCUGAAUUAUUAGCAGGUUGCUUCUGAAUUCAUUACAUGGACGUUUCCCAUCCUUAUGGUAUUGAUUUGACAUGCUCUGGAAUCAUGAUGGUCGUGAUGGUCUCUUCCAGUGGGCUGGCAGUGGAGAAUUAAUGUUUGGUGUGGCAGAAAGCUGGUGUAAAUGACUGCUGCUGCCUCCCAGAGCAAGAUAACCUGCUCAGUCAGCUGGAGCCCCCUGCGGACAGCUGUCUCGCUUUUAGCUGAUGGAAAACUGCUAUAAGCGCUGAAUGGAAGAGCGUGGAGCAGCGACCGUACCGGCACGGGGAGCUGCAGCGGCAGCCGGAGCAGACUCUAUUGUUCCCUGGUGUUAAACAGCUUCUCCUUCCGCACUGCCAUGCACAGCGGCGGGAGAGAGCCUUGCGGUCCCUCUCUCCCCGCGAGGAGAUUCUGAGCAGGGAGGAUCGUGUGCGGAAGGUUUGGCGG